GAUAAACGCUGGCGGCGUGCCUAACACAUGCAAGUCGAACGUCCUACGCAAGUAGGGAGUGGCGGACGGGUGAGUAACACGUGGAGAUCUACCUUCAAGUUCGGAAUACCGGCGAGAAAUCGCCGACAAAACCGGAUGUGUCUCGCAAGAAACAAAGUCGCAAGACGCUUGAAGAUGACUCUGCGCCCGAUUAGCCAGUUGGUGGGGUCAUGGCCUACCAAGGCGACGAUCGGUAGCUGGUCUGAGAGGAUGAUCAGCCACACUGGGAUUGAGAACG
rnacentral:rRNA from 1 species